rfam:Stegodyphus mimosarum contig39198, whole genome shotgun sequence.
GCCUUCGUGGUGUAAUGAUCAGCACACUAAGCUGGUAUUUCAGAGGUCCGCGGUUCGAUCCCCGGCGAAGGAA